CGCCUUUCUUCCGCUCGGGUAUAUGUAAAACCUGAUCUGUUCGAGACUCGUAAAACAUGAAGUCCGUCAUAAUCCUGUGGAUCGUUCACACCUUUUUCAUCAAACCAGCAGAUUCCAACAGGUUGGUUCGCUCUAGUGCCCAGGCGUGCGUGCCAGUCUGUUGUAAAUUCUUUAAUAAGGCUCCAAAGUGGGAAUUUGGAUCAACACCAGACCGACUGUGAGGGCAGAACCCACUGCCCCACAGCUAAGUUAAGUUCAUUUGUUAUAUUUUUCUCUUGAAUAAACCAUUUCAUUUUAUUUCACACAUUUCAUAACAAAAUUGACUUAAUGACCUGUGCACACAUUUAGUUAAUUUUGUAUUGUUUUGAGUAAUUCUAUUCUUUGAGUUCUGUUUGAGGCCUGAUGCUGGGGCAGAGGCUGGAGCAGGAAACUUCCUGAUGAUGUGGCAGUGGGAGGAGCUGAAGAAGUUCCUGAUGACUUGGAAAGGGAGGAGCAUGGACAACUUCCAUCUGGAGAAGAUGGAGGGGAAAGACGAAGUGUAUUCUUAUGUUGGACUAUUGUUUGUAUUUUUUGGAAUAUGUUAAGCUUGCUUUGAGGUACAAGUUCAGUUUCUGUUGAAGCGUUAAAUUACUAGUAAUUUACUACUUUAAUUAAUAUUUAGGUUUUGAAUGUUUUGUAUUUGUGCUCCCCUCCCUAUUGUGUCAUUGGUCUGAUCAGCCAGUAUAAAAUCUCCCUAAUGUUUCCCGUAAGGGGGUCAGUUUGAGUUCAGUUGGUUUGAGCUUUUGUUAUUGAUUCGCUCAGUUACAUUUUUGUUAAGUUGACCCCAUUUUAAUUUGAGCCCCUGUCGUGUUGUGUUGGGUAAAAUAAAAACCCCUGAUUUGAAGAUCUUUUUGUCCUGUGGCUCAAUCUCUGCCGAGCGGACCCUGACAACUGGUGUCAGAAGUGGGAUAACCCCACCAUGAGCCCAGUUAUGCAGAAAAGUGGACGCAACAUGAGAGGAGCCAAGGAUGGCCCAUUACCCCCUAAAAUGACACAGGAGCAGCCAGAUGAGGAUCAGGAGGAAAAUGGAGCUUCUGGAGGAGUGGACAGCUCUGAGGGCACAGGUAACGAGCCAAGUGUUGCAGACCUGGUCUCUAUUUU